rnacentral:rRNA from 1 species
UACGGAGGGUGCAAACGUUGCUCGGAAUCAUUGGGCGUAAAGCGCUCGUAGGUGGCCUGUUAAGUCGGGUGUGAAAUCCCUGGGCUCAACCCAGGAAGUGCACUCGAAACUGGCAGGCUUGAGUACUGAAGAGGGUCGCGGAAUUCCCGGUGUAGAGGUGAAAUUCGUAGAUAUCGGGAGGAACACCAGUGGCGAAGGCGGCGACCUGGGCAGAUACUGACACUGAGGUGCGAAAGCGUGGGGAGCAAACAGG